AAAAGGAGAGAGAGAGGGAGAGACGAAGAGCAAUGUCAGGAGCCCCGGCCCCACCAGAGAAUUCUCCGUCGUUCGCACCAAUCCCGGCCGAGCGCGCGCCCUAAGCGCCCCCCUGUCCGCCCCCGCGCAGCGGAUCCUCGGGCGGGGCCCGGGGCGCAGCGGGGCUGCUCGGAGGGGCUUGCUCAGCAAGUGGAAGGCGCCCCAAAUCCCCACGCACCGAGGCCGCGGGUACUUGGCUGGUCAACUUGCCCCCGGAGCUCGGCCCCUCCGCGCCCGCGAAACCCGACGCCCCGGGAAGGAAGUCCCCGACCCGAGUUCCAGGCGCGCGCGGCAGGGCUGCGGGUGUCGCCGCGGCGGAGGAGCGAGGCGGGCGUGAAGCGCCAGGGCCGCGCCCCGUCCCACCUGCGCGGGCACGUCGGGCACAGGUCGCCUCCGGCCGCUCGGCCCCCGCCCGGCCCCCUCCCCUGGCCGCGGGCCCGACGUCGGCCGCCGGGGGCCUCUUACCCAGGGGCGAGCGGAGCUUCCGGCCACAGAGUCGGCGCAGCAAAGGCUGCCGCUCCCGGCCCCGGCUCCGGGCUCCCGGCCUCGGCCCGGGCCCCGCCCGCCCGCCUGCCCGGCCCCCGGGCGGACGCUAGAGGCGGGGACGGCGGGCUCCUCCCGAGAAAGGUCGGGAGAGGUCCUGCCGCGGCCCCGCCCGGCGGGCGCCCGAGCCCGAGCCCGAGCCCGAGCCCGAGCCCGAGCCCGACACCGGCGCCGCCUGCGGGCUGCCCCGGGCUCCGAGCGCGCACCGGGGAGAGCCGGGGCCGGGGGGGCAGAGCCGGGGGCAGAGCCGGGGCCGGGGGGGCAGAGCCGGGGUCGGGGGGCAGAGCCGGGGGCAGAGCCGGGGCCGGGGGGCAGAGGCGGGGCCGCGGGGGCAGAGCCGGGGCCGGGGGGGGGGGGCAGAGGCGGGGGCAGAGCCGGGGCCGGGGGGCAGAGCCGGGGGCAGAGCCGGGGCCGCGGGGGCAGAGCCGGGGCAGAGGCGGGGGCAGAGCCGGGGCCGCGGGGCAGAGCCGGGGCCGGUGGGGCAGAGCCGGGGCCGCGGGGCAGAGGCAGGGGCAGAGCCGGGGCCGGGGGGCAGAGCCGGGGGCAGAGCCGGGGCAGAGCCGGGGCAGAGCCGGGGUCGGGGCCGCGGGGGCAGAGCCGGGGUCGGGGGGACAGAGCCGGGGCCGGGGGGGGGGGGGGGGGCAGAGCCGGGGCCGCGGGGCAGAGGCGGGGGCAGAGCCGGGGGCAGAGCCGGGGCCGCGGGGGCAGAGCCGGAGGCAGAGCCGGGGCCGCGGGGGCAGAGGCGGGGGCAGAGCCGGGGCCGGGGGUGCAGAGCCGGAGCCGGGGGUGCAGAGGCGGGGCCGGGGGAGCAGAGGCGGGGGCAGACCCGGGGCCGGGGGGGCAGAGGCGGGGGCAGAGCUGGGGCCGGGGGGGCGGGGCCGGGGUCGGGGGGGCAGAGCCGGGGCCGCGGGGCAGAGACGGGGGCAGAGCCGGGGCCGGGGGUGCAGAGCCGAGGCCGGGGGUGCAGAGCCGGGGCCGGGGGUGCAGAGCCGGGGCCGGGGGUGCAGAGGCGGGGCCGCGGGGGCAGAGUCGGGGGCAGAGCCGGGGCCGGGGGUGCAGAGCCGGGGCCGCGGGGGCAGAGCCGGGGGCGGGGCCGGGGGUGCAGAGGCCGGGAGGCCACCUGUCGCCGCCGCCGCCCCUUCCGCACCCCGGUCCCGACCGGCGCCGCCCGCACCGCGGAACUGGGAGGGUCAAGGUGGAGGCCGGGCCGUUUGGGGCGGGUCCUCCCGGGCGCGCUCCCUCCCGGUUCCCAGCGCGUCCCAGGGGAGCCCCGACGACGCAGGAGCCGCUGUCUUACCCUCGGGAGCAGGCCGCGGCCCGCUGGCUUCAGCCCCUGGCCUCCACCCCGUCUCCCAUCCUACUGUCAUUACUGGGCAUUUUUUCAGUUGGCUGCUCUUCCGAAGGGCUUGCAAAGUGUGGAUGAGCGGUUCUCCACCAACACGGAUCCCGCAGCACCUUUUCACAAUAAAUCGGUGUUCCAAAAGUCUUACUACAAUUUUAAGCCGUUUAAGACACUGA
rnacentral:lncRNA from 1 species